rnacentral:rRNA from 1 species
UUAAGGGUCAGUUCGGCUGGAUCGGUGACAGGUGCUGCAUGGCUGUCGUCAGCUCGUGUCGUGAGAUGUUGGGUUAAGUCCCGCAACGAGCGCAACCCUCGUCCUUAGUUGCCAGCAUUCAGUUGGGCACUCUAAGGAGACUGCCGGUGUUAAACCGGAGGAAGGCGGGGAUGACGUCAAGUCCUCAUGGCCCUUAUGUCCAGGGCUACACACGUGCUACAAUGGCCGGUACAAAGGGUAGCAAGACCGCGAGGUGGAGCCAACCCCAAAAAGCCGGUCUCAGUUCGGAUUGGAGUCUGCAACUCGACUCCAUGAAGUUGGAAUCGCUAGUAAUCGUGGAUCAGCAUGCCACGGUGAAUACGUUCCCGGGCCUU